GAUGAACGCUAGCUGGAGGCUUAAUACAUGCAAGUCGAGCGGGAUUGGGUAGCAAUACCCAUGAGAGCGGCGCACGGGUGAGUAACGCGUACACGACCUACCUCUAACAGGGGGAUAGCCCUGGGAAACUGGGAUUAAUACCGCAUAUAAUUCUGACAAAUAAAGAGUUGGAAUGAAAGUUCAGGCGGUUAGAGAUGGGUGUGCGUCUGAUAGCUAGUUGGUAGGGUAACGGCCUACCAAGGCGAUGAUCAGUAGGGGGCGUGAGAGCGUGGUCCCCCACACGGGUACUGAGACACGGACCCGACUCCUACGGGAGGCAGCAGUAAGGAAUAUUGGACAAUGGCCGCAAGGCUGAUCCAGCCAUCCAGCGUGCAGGAAGAAGGCCCUAUGGGUUGUAAACUGCUUUUGUCAGGGAAUAAACCUGUGGAUUCACUCCGCAGCUGAAGGUACCUGAAGAAUAAGCACCGGCUAACUCCGUGCCAGCAGCCGCCGUAA
rnacentral:rRNA from 1 species